rnacentral:tRNA from 1 species
UCCGUGAUAGCUCAGUUGGUAGAGCAAAUGACUGUUAAUCAUUGGGUCCCUGGUUCGAGUCCAGGUCAUGGAGCCA